GAACCGGGACUGUUGUUUGGAAACCGCAACAAGCAAAUCAAAGAAGAAGUAUUGUUAUCUUCAAAUUGAGUUAAAGAAGGAGCACUCUUCAAGCUCUUCAGUAUCAGUGAGAGUUCUUGUGACAGCAGGACGUGCAAAGCAUAUUAACACCGCGUGUUCAGAAGGCAAUCCAUCACCAACCCUUCAUGUUGUGGAUUCUGAAAAUGUGGUAGUUUCAUGUGAUGGAGUCCUACCAAGCCAUAAUGUGACAGUUACCGUAUCUGCGUCAUAUCUUGAACAAUUCGCUACCGCCUCGAUGAUCAUAAAAACAAGUAAGAAAUCUCAUUUUUACACGACUUUGAUAUAAUGAUGAUGGUAAUGGCGAUGUUUAUCAUCAUCAUGAUGAGGAGCUAAGCGGUUGGCUGAGAGGUAUUUUUCCUGCUUCGCUGAAGACCCCGGUUCAAGCCCUGCCAGCGUCGGGUUUUAAUUGGAGUCUGAUCGAAUUGAAUAACCCUCAUUGAGAUUUAGGCGGGCGAAGGACAAUUGUAUCCGUUUAUAUUCGUUAUAAAAUCGGUACAGGCUUUCCUCUUAGGUUUCGGAAUGUGUUUGUUAGUUGAACGGAUGGAAAUGAUUUGUAUUAAUGCAAAAAAAAAA